rnacentral:ncRNA from 2 species
GUUGAAUAGAGAGACAGAGAAUAACCAUCUUUAUUUGGGCGCUUGGAUGGUUUGGAGUCAGUAGCGCAACCGGCUAAUUAAAC